UACGGAGGGUGCGAGCGUUGUCCGGAAUCAUUGGGCGUAAAGGGCGCGUAGGUGGCCACUUCAAGCGUGCGGUGAAAGUCGGGGGCUCAACCCCUGAUCGGCCGUGCGAACUGGGGGGCUGGAGCACUGUAGAGGCAGGCGGAAUUCCGGGUGUAGCGGUGGAAGUGACGUAGAGAUCCGGAAGAACGACCGGUGGCGAAGGCGGCCUGCUGGGCAGUUUUGCUGACACUGAGGCGCGGACAGCGUGGGGAGCAAACAGG
rnacentral:rRNA from 1 species